CCUACGUGAGGCAGCAGUGAGGAAUAUUGGUCAAUGGGCGCGAGCCUGAACCAGCCAAGUCGCGUGAGGGAAGACGGUCCUAUGGAUUGUAAACUCCUUUUGUCGGGGAGCAAAAGACGCCACGCGUGUCGUUCCGAGAGUACCCGAAGAAAAAGCAUCGGCUAACCCCGUGCCAGCAGCCGCGGUAAUACGGAGGAUGCGAGCGUUAUCCGGAUUUAUUGGGUUUAAAGGGUGCGAAGGCGGAAGAUUAAGUCAGCGGUAAAAUUGAGGGGCUCAACCUCUUCGAGCCGUUGAAACUGGUUUUCUUGAGUGAGCGAGAAGUAUGCGGAAUGCGUGGUGUAGCGGUGAAAUGCAUAGAUAUCACGCAGAACUCCGAUUGCGAAGGCAGCAUACCGGCGCUCAACUGACGCUCAUGCACGAAAGUGUGGGUAUCGAACAGGAUUAGAUACCCCAGUAGUC
rnacentral:rRNA from 1 species